AUUGAACGCUGGCGGCAUGCCUUACACAUGCAAGUCGAACGGUAACAGGUUAAGCUGACGAGUGGCGAACGGGUGAGUAAUGUAUCGGAACGUGCCCAGUCGUGGGGGAUAACUACUCGAAAGAGUGGCUAAUACCGCAUACGACCUGAGGGUGAAAGCGGGGGACCGUAAGGCCUCGCGCGAUUGGAGCGGCCGAUAUCAGAUUAGCUAGUUGGUGGGGUAAAAGCCCACCAAGGCGACGAUCUGUAGCUGGUCUGAGAGGACGACCAGCCACACUGGGACUGAGACACGGCCCAGACUCCUACGGGAGGCAGCAGUGGGGAAUUUUGGACAAGGGACGCAAGUCUGAUCCAGCCAUGCCGCGUGCGGGAAGAAGGCCUUCGGGUUGUAAACCGCUUUAAGCGAGGAGGAGGCUACUAGUACUAAUACUACUGGAUAGUGGACGUUACUCGCAGAAUAAGCACCGGCUAACUCUGUGCCAGCCGCCGCAGUAAGAC
rnacentral:rRNA from 1 species